UACGUAGGGGGCAAGCGUUAUCCGGAUUUACUGGGCGUAAAGCAGCACGUAGGCGGCUUUGUAAGUUAGAGGUGAAAGCCCGGGGCUCAACUCCGGAAUUGCCUUUAAGACUGCAUCGCUAGAAUUGUGGAGAGGUAAGUGGAAUUCCGAGUGUAGAGGUGAAAUUCGUAGAUAUUCGGAAGAACACCAGUGGCGAAGGCGACUUACUGGACACAUAUUGACGCUGAGGUGCGAAAGCGUGGGGAGCAAACAGG
rnacentral:rRNA from 1 species